rnacentral:sRNA from 1 species
ACUGGCCCGACCGUUCCGACACCGAGGUGCCUCCUCUGGACCUGGGCUGGACGGACACUGGUUUCUACCGCGGCGUGAGCCGGGUCACGCUCUUCACCCACCCCCCCAAGGACGAGAAGGCGCCGCACCUCAAGCAGGUGGUCAGGCAGAUGAUCCAACAGGCCCAGAAGCCUCUUCUUCCCAAAGACCCUGUGAAGAAGUUGGGACAGAGAGGUUGACCCUGUUUCACAGGCAGAAAGGGCGCCUUUAGGGACCCAAAAAUGAUCUCCUGGCCUAUGAUACGCUAACAAAGAAGACCAGGGGAAGUUGCUGAUGCGUGGGCUGCUCAGGUCAUCGUAACUGCCCGGGAGUGGACUUACAGCAAGACCAUGUGUAGACUGGGAAACUCUUGGUUCUUAUUUGCAAAGCCAGAGUAAGGGAAGCAAUCUGGAUGGGCUGGCAACUUGGAAGGAUUGUGCAUCCGUUGGCCACUGGACAAAUAUUUAGAGGUUUACUGCAUGUGCUAAGCAUACUUUAGUGGAAAGCAGAUACCUAAAACACACCUCUGCUCUUAAAUAGCC